UAAGGGCUCACCAAGGCGACGAUCCCUAGCUGGUCUGAGAGGAUGAUCAGCCACACUGGAACUGAGACACGGUCCAGACUCCUACGGGAGGCAGCAGUGGGGAAUAUUGCACAAUGGGCGCAAGCCUGAUGCAGCCAUGCCGCGUGUAUGAAGAAGGCCUUCGGGUUGUAAAGUACUUUCAGCAGUGAGGAAGGCGGUGUCGUUAAUAGCGGCAUCAUUUGACGUUAGCUGCAGAAGAAGCACCGGCUAACUCCGUGCCAGCAGCCGCGGUAAUACGGAGGGUGCGAGCGUUAAUCGGAAUUACUGGGCGUAAAGCGCAUGCAGGUGGUUUGUUAAGUCAGAUGUGAAAGCCCGGGGCUCAACCUCGGAAUUGCAUUUGAAACUGGCAGACUAGAGUACUGUAGAGGGGGGUAGAAUUUCAGGUGU
rnacentral:rRNA from 1 species